UUUUGAGACACGUGACUUCCGUUUUCACCAAAUUUGUCAACAGUUUGAUAUCGUUGUUUAAAUAUAUAAAUCCAUGGUAUCUUCAUAAAGCAUUUCGAGCAAAUGAGCACAGACCCCAGUUGACCUUGACAAGAGAGUCGAAGAAUGAAGACAGAGUUUGGUUGAAUGUCAAAUACAGCUCAUGUAAUGACAGCUUCAUUCUUAACAUCUGUCGAGAGUUGCAUACUCAAAUGUGUACAACUUCCUGAUAAAUCGCACUAAACAGCUAGUGUAUUCAAAGACAUUGCUCACUAUUUUGGGGAAGUACAUGUACUUAUUAAAUAUUGUUAAGCAAAUAGAGUAUAUCAAAAUAGAAAUACAUGUAUUAACAUUCACUCGACAAACAGUAAGGAAUAAUGGCUGAACCGAAGGAGGUCAUUACAGAACGAAUAUUUAAGACGAAUUUUGCAAACAGCAAAACGUACAAUGUCCCAGGUGAUUGGCCCCAUGAAACAUAUCUGGUCAGCAAAGUGGAUAUAAAGAAAAAACAUAGAUUAAUUGCUCUGACAGAUGUUAAAGUAUUUCAGAACAUUUGGGGUUCAGGACUUCAUGCUCAUUAUAGGUUUUUUCAGUAUUUAGAGCAAAAUAUUUUGAAAAACAAGACCGAUGAUACACUAUUCGUUGAUGUGGAAAUAUUUCCCAGUUAUUCCCCCUGUCAUACAUGUGCAAAAUCUAUGGUAAAUUUCAUUACGCGCAUGAGAGAUAGAAACAUAUCUGUAACCCUUACAGUCCAUAUUGGAACAUUCUUCAAAAUAUAUGAUGCAAAUCAUACCACACAACCACACGUCGUCGGUUUGAUGGAGCUAAUUUGCACUCCUCGUGUGGAGCUGAAAACAUUCAAUGGACAAAAAGACUGGGAACGGUUUUUGGAAAUUGCUGAACUUCCCUCAGAAUGGAUUCAUCACGCGCAGACAAACCUACGAGUUUUGCGCGAGAAUAAUGACAGUUUGAUUUUAGAUAGGCUGAAAAUAAACGCAAAUGCAACGAGACUUCAAGAACAGCAAGCUACUUCUAUAGACUUUGAUGUUCAUUUGCAAGCAUUGUCUUUGAGCAAGGAAACGUCGGAUCAAUACCUGAGGUGCAAUGAUUGCAAAAUAACACUUUGUGAAUGUCACAGGCAGAAUCUACAGUUACAGGGUUUUUUCACAGGCUUAGGGACAGGGGUCCUAGCCCUCUACUACAAGGGAAAAAUAGCACUUGAAAUCCUUUUAAGGGAAUGAAUUUUCCGAGGAUUGUCUUAUCAUUGUAAAAAACUGAUUGAUUUCUAAGAAAUGUACACAAAGGAAGACACAAUUAUGUAACAAACCAUUGUCCUUUGAUGACAUUAAUCUGUGAAAAGACACUAGAAAUAACUUUGACAAACUCUUGAUAGUGUAAAAUAAAUCUAAUACAGGAUUUCAAAUCAAUUUAACAUUGGCCUCCCCCACCCUUUACUUACUUUACUUACUCUUUGUGUGAUAUCAUGUACUAUGAUUGUUCAUGGCUACAUAUUACGUUACUUAAAGUGUAUUGUACGCCUAUACGUGUAGUGUACACCUUGGUUUCAUUCAAUAAAGAGUAAUGGCGAUUGUUAAAGUCUACUGGCAUUUUAAGUGCAAACGUGCAUGUUCUUGACAUACACAAAAAACUUCAUCACAAACACAAAACUUAACCGAUAAAAAAAACACCGGACAACGCUUCCUUCGAUUUGCAUUAUAAAACACAGCUCUCGUCAUUACGAAUCACUGCGUAUGAGUUCAUGUCAUUCGGAACUCCAUGACCAUUUUCUGUCCAAAAAAAAACCCUCGGAUGUUUGCCUGUACAUCGGUAGAAAUAGUUAGUAAAAUUUCGAAUUAUAAUAUUAAUUAAAUGUAAUGUUUUAACAUGCAUUUGAAUAUCAUUAAUUAAAUGUAAUGUUUUAACUUGUAUUUGUAUAUAUCUGAGUUUAAAUCGAUGUUCAGUGAAGUGUAGUAUUGCAAACAUAAGAUUCCCAGAGUCUAAAUAAAAAAUCAGCAUGCACAGGGCUUGGAUGCAAUUUUAAGGAUGUCAUUUCCAAAAUGACGUUAUUUACCCAUAUGUGCCACGCUUUUCUAUAAAACCAAGUUAACUGCCAUUUUCUUUUCUUUUCUUUUAAUGCAAUUAAAAUAGAAAAAAAAAUAGUUUUACCAGUGUUAGAUGUCAAUUUAUUUCACCUUAUGAAACCCAAAAAUAAAUAGUUCACUCAUUGCUAAGUAUUGCCAUCCUACACUGAAACAAUCAAUUAAAUUUUAUAUCAUACAUGUUUUGUUAUUUUCUUUCAAUUAUACUUUAUAUAUAUAUCAUGCAUGUUUUGUUAUCUUCUUUCAAUUAUACUUUAUAUCAUA